CUUUGCAGAGUAGUCUGAAAUGAUCAGAGGAUCCAUGGGGAUGGAAGUGCUCUGAAGGUGGGAAGAAUGUCCACCAGGCAGAGUAAUGAGCUGGCAGACUGAAAGAGCAGCCCAAGGUGCAAAGACCCAAGUGUGGAUUGUGGAGGUCACUAUGGCAUGAGCUUGGAGUUGUACCAGGUUAGGUCUUUUCGGGUUCUGAGAAACCAGAUAAAUGAAUUUUGCUUGAGAUGGUGUCCUUUGAGGUUGCAGAGCGAGGAGGAGAUGCCAGAGUUGCCAGACCUUCCUGAAGGAAUAAAGGGAAGACAAUCACAGCAGAGGGAACAGCAGAUCUUUCAUUCCCUUGGAGGGAUCCUGGUGAUCUCAGUGCCUUCCGAGGAGGAGCGCCAGCACAUUUCAGCGACCAAAGAGAGUCAGAGCAAGAGUCCAGCCAUUCACUGACCCAGCUGACUCCAGGAUAUCGGCUUGUGGAGGAGAAGGACGCUGGAUGGAUGUAGAAUAGCUUGUCCACUGUGGCCAUACGUUUUGUUUUAUGUUCGAGUGAGGUAUGCGUAGCACACUUGGCCAGCAUCCAUCCUUCCCACUUGUUGAUUAUCCUCUGAAGUCAUCAGUCACUUUUCUGCUCCCUUCAGUAGGAGCUGGAUGGAGUUUUCCCUGGCAGUUUCUAGCAACCAUUUUAUCUAUCUUCUGUCAGCGCUUAGUUAGUGCUAAAUUGGAGUUAAAUAGGCAAAGACAAAAUCUGCCCUGUAAGAGAAACUCUGUGUUUUCAGCAACUUUGUGAUUAAGAUGCUGAGGCUGGGGUUGGUUUUGUGUGCAAGGGCUGGGAUUGAAGUCAUCCAUUUCUGAGCUGGUUCAAAGUUCCUUGGUGUCAGUGGCAAAGGUGGUACAAAGAUGGAAAGAAAUAACACUUGUGUAGGGGGUAAAAACAAUACUAUUUUUUUUUCUCCUUGUUAAAAAAGGAAAAAAUACAGAAAAUAUUUUGUGGAGUAAUAAAAAUGCACCCUAAUAUAAUCCAUCAGUACUUUUUAUGGCAUAAAAUUAUUUCAUGAGAUACUGCCAGAGCUAAACCAGCACAAAACUUUAAAA